UGUGGGGAGCGAACAGGAUUAGAUACCCUGGUAGUCCACACCGUAAACGUUGGGCGCUAGGUGUGGGGUCCAUUCCACGGAUUCCGUGCCGCAGCUAACGCAUUAAGCGCCCCGCCUGGGGAGUACGGCCGCAAGGCUAAAGCUCAAAGGAAUUGACGGGGGCCCGCACAAGCGGCGGAGCAUGCGGAUUAAUUCGAUGCAACGCGAAGAACCUUACCUGGGUUUGACAUACACCCUGCCGCCUCAGAGAUGGGGCUUCUUUUGGGGGUGUACAGGUGGUGCAUGGCUGUCGUCAGCUCGUGUCGUGAGAUGUCGGGUUAAGUCCCGCAACGAGCGCAACCCUCGUUCUAUGUUGCCAGCACGUAAUGGUGGGGACUCAUAGGAGACUGCCGGGGUCAACUCGGAGGAAGGUGGGGAUGACGUCAAGUCAUCAUGCCCCUUAUGUCCAGGGCUUCACGCAUGCUACAAUGGCCGGUACAAAGGGCUGCGAUCCCGUAAGGGGGAGCGAAUCCCAAAAAGCCGGUCUCAGUUCGGAUUGGGGUCUGCAACUCGACCCCAUGAAGUCGAGUCGCUAGUAUCGCA
rnacentral:rRNA from 1 species